rnacentral:piRNA from 1 species
UCCGAAAUGGGCUGGGUUUGCUCUAGACGA